GCCAGCAGCCAUAUCACCCUGCAACUCACAACUGACAACCCACUGAAGCUCAGCAGGUGCGAGCCUGGUCAGUACCUGGAUGCGAGACCUCCUGGGAAAAGCGAAGGUUGCAGCUGGAA
rfam:Lepisosteus oculatus linkage group LG8, whole genome shotgun sequence.